ensembl:lncRNA
CUUGUUAUCUUUUCGGCAGCCCGCGACCGGAAGCGGGGUGUGCCCGGAGACUCCUGGGAAAUGUAGUUCGGCCUGCCGAUGGCCCGGCCCAGCCAAAUGGCUCGGCCUUCUCGGGCACCAGAACCAAGGGGUGGGGGGGCGUGACUGGUCCGUUUGGAAGCCACGGGGAGUGGAGGCUCAUCUGCCCACGAUCACCGCAGGCCCAGGCCCCCGACGGUUGCGGAACCGACGAGCCCAGCCUGUCUCCGUGGUAACCGGCUGGCCGCAGAGGACUGUGGGAAGUGUAACUGGGCAGGACCCGCCAGUGCUCGAGGUCCGAGGGGUUGCCGUUAUACCGCCAGCCACCCGGGGCAGAACGAUUUUGCGGCGUCCGGGCGUCGUCGUCCUGCCGUCACUUUGGCCUCUGAUCACCCAGGCAGAACAUUUCUGAAAUUAAAGAAGCUCAUGAAGAAUUUAUCUGAAACAUAACUCUCUCACAGCACAAGUUAAGGCUCCCUGGGGACUUCUCCAGUCAAGAAUGACCCCAGCAAUGGUGGGGGCUGUGUCCUUGGCCCCCACCCAGAUCCAGUCCCAUAGACUGGCAUGCAGGGAACCUCCCAGAGGGGAAGUUGAGCAGCUGGCCUGCCCCAGAGAAGAGUUUGGAGCAGGAGAGAGAAGAGAGGAGCCAGGAAGGUGACCAGAGUGACCAGAACUGCCAGCCAGGGGCCUCUCACUCUCCUGGAAGCCUCUGGAAACAUUACCCAAGGAACAGUGGUGCUAAAAGACCCUUUCUCUCCCAGUGCUGAUGGAAAGACAGUGGCAUCAGGAGCGAGACAGACCUAGACCGGCUGUGCCUCUUGCUAGCUGUACACUCAUCUGUUUUCUUUACAAAAUGUAAAACUCUUUGAGGAAGAACCACCCCAUGUCCCUUGGACUCACAGCACCUCUGAGCAUCGAGGGACUCGGGAUGACAUGGGGAUCGGUGACUGUAUACAGCUGUGGAUGCAGACAGAUGGAUUUGUGACUCAGGGUCAUCACGCAUGGAGGCACGCUUACCCCUGCCUGAAGACAUGACCUGCCUUCUCGGGGAUGGUUGUCGGCCAUUCUCUUCCGGGUCACACAGGAAGAAGGGCCAAGAUCGGGAAAUCAAUGCCCCACACUUCUGGGCACCCACGCCAAACUCAGCACAGAGCUGACCACAGUGUGGAGGAAAGCGGAAGACAUCUGUAUAGACAGUUCAGCCAUCGUCACCCUGGUCAGUCAUCAUCUCAUCCAAGUUGUACCGAACCAGGUCAUUUGCAAAGCACACACAUGAGAAUCACAGCCACAAAACCCAGCAGUAAAAACAUAAGCACCAGGGAGCCGAUGCUGGACCAGCAGUAGACUGCCAGUAUGCGGGGAAAGAAACCAUCCCCACCAUCAUCAUGACGCCUGUCACUCCAGCACUCCACUGAAGCCUCAGGCCAGCAUGUGGGCGAGGCUGUGACCCACCCAGGCUGUUGGGUUUGACAUCCCACACUGAGAUCCUGGCAACUAUAAUUCAGUCUCCGUGGAAUUCUAAAGAGGUUCAAAGCCCUAUCCUUUGGCUGUGUGGCGGGAAGCCACUCCCCUCCAUGUAGCCCACAGAGCCGUGGACUGCCAAGGCAUUCAAGUCGCUCACUGCAAAUCCAAAGCAACACAGCCUUGACUGGCCUGGCACAACUGCUCUGACUACAAAGAGCUGGUCAGGACUCAGACGCGGCCUCCCCGGUAUAGGCUUAAGGUAGGGCUGCUUCACUUUGGCACUGCUGACACUGUGGCUGGAUAAUUCCCUCUCAUGGAGGGCUGAUUUGUGCAUGGUAGGAUAUUUAACAGCACCUCUGGCCUCUUCCCAUUAAAU